rnacentral:rRNA from 1 species
GUGGACGCCAGUCUGCAUGGAGCCGACCUUGAAAUACCACCCUUUAAUGUUUGAUGUUCUAACGUGGACCCGUAAUCCGGGUUGCGGACAGUGUCUGGUGGGUAGUUUGACUGGGGCGGUCUCCUCCUAAAGAGUAACGGAGGAGCACGAAGGUUGGCUAAUCCUGGUCGGACAUCAGGAGGUUAGUGCAAUGGCAUAAGCCAGCUUGACUGCGAGCGUGACGGCGCGAGCAGGUGCGAAAGCAGGUCAUAGUGAUCCGGUGGUUCUGAAUGGAAGGGCCAUCGCUCAACGGAUAAAAGGUACUCCGGGGAUAACAGGCUGAUACCGCCCAAGAGUUCAUAUCGACGGCGGUGUUUGGCACCUCGAUGUCGGCUCAUCACAUCCUGGGGCUGAAGUAGGUCCCAAGGGUAUGGCUGUUCGCCAUUUAAAGUGGUACGCGAGCUGGGUUUAGAACGUCGUGAGACAGUUCGGUCCCUAUCUGCCGUGGGCGCUG